rnacentral:rRNA from 1 species
AUUGAACGCUGGCGGCAUGCCUUACACAUGCAAGUCGAACGGUAACAGGUCUUCGGAUGCUGACGAGUGGCGAACGGGUGAGUAAUACAUCGGAACGUGCCCGAUCGUGGGGGAUAACGAGGCGAAAGCUUUGCUAAUACCGCAUACGAUCUACGGAUGAAAGCGGGGGAUCUUCGGACCUCGCGCGGACGGAGCGGCCGAUGGCAGAUUAGGUAGUUGGUGGGAUAAAAGCUUACCAAGCCGACGAUCUGUAGCUGGUCUGAGGGGAUGAUCAGCCACACUGGGACUGAGACACGGCCCAGACUCCUACGGGAGGCAGCAGUGGGGAAUUUUGGACAAUGGGCGAAAGCCUGAUCCAGCCAUGCCGCGUGCAGGAUGAAGGCCUUCGGGUUGUAAACUGCUUUUGUACGGAACGAAAAGCCUCUUUCUAAUAAAGAGGGGUCAUGACGGUACCGUAAGAAUAAGCACCGGCUAACUACGUG